UAUCAAUUUUUCGAACACAUU
ensembl:piRNA 21ur-1515 ncRNA